UNUGCUGUGAAAGGCUGGGGCUUAACCCUGGUUUUGCAGUGGGUACGGGCUAACUAGAGUGCAGUAGGGGAGACUGGAAUUCCUGGUGUAGCGGUGGAAUGCGCAGAUAUCAGGAGGAACACCGAUGGCGAAGGCAGGUCUCUGGGCUGUAACUGACGCUGAGAAGCGAAAGCGUGGGGAGCGAACAGGAUUAGAUACCCUGGUAGUCCAUGCCGUAAACGUUGGGCACUAGGUGUGGGGGACAUUCCACGUUUUCCGCGCCGUAGCUAACGCAUUAAGUGCCCCGCCUGGGGAGUACGGCCGCAAGGCUAAAACUCAAAGAAAUUGACGGGGGCCCGCACAAGCGGCGGAGCAUGCGGAUUAAUUCGAUGCAGCGCGAAGAACCUUACCAAGGCUUGACAUAUACUGGACUGCGUCAGAGAUGGCGUUUCCCUUCGGGGCUGGUAUACAGGUGGUGCAUGGUUGUCGUCAGCUCGUGUCGUGAGAUGUUGGGUUAAGUCCCGCAACGAGCGCAACCCUCGUUCUAUGUUGCCAGCACGUGAUGGUGGGGACUCAUAGGAGACUGCCGGGGUCAACUCGGAGGAAGGUGGGGAUGACGUCAAAUCAUCAUGCCCCUUAUGUCUUGGGCUUCACGCAUGCUACAAUGGCCGGUACAGAGGGUUGCGAUACUGUGAGGUGGAGCUAAUCCCUAAAAGCCGGUCUCAGUUCGGAUUGGGGUCUGCAACUCGACCCCAUGAAGUCGGAGUCGCUAGUAAUCGCAGAUCAGCAACGCUGCGGUGAAUACGUUCCCGGGCCUUGUACACACCGCCCGUCAAGUCACGAAAGUUGGUAACACCCGA
rnacentral:rRNA from 1 species